AAAAACAGGUAAAAAGCGUUUAAGCAGAUAUAAAGCGUUUAAGAAACAGGUAAAAGGUGUUUAAGAAACAUAUCUGUUUCUUAAACAUAUCUUUUGUUUGUCCCGAGGAAGGUUUUUACCGAUUUACUCCUGAGGGCUUGUAGCUCAAUUGGUUARAGCGCGCGCUUGAUAAGCGUGAGGUCGGAGGUUCAAGUCCUCCCAGGCCCACCAUUUAUGAUUGCUGAUAAGUUUGCUGAUAAGUUUUUUGUGAAUGUUUUGAUGGUCUUUUAUCUUACGAUCUUUCACUUUUAUGUUGCAAUCUUUCAAAAGUAUUUGAACUGUUUUAGGGGCCGUAGCUCAGCUGGGAGAGCACCUGCUUUGCAAGCAGGGGGUCGUCGGUUCGAUCCCGUCCGGCUCCACCAUCUUUGGUUAUCAUCAUCGUUAAAGAACAAUGUUUUGCAAUAGAUCUGUAGAUCUUAAGUCUAUCAUCUAUUGCCUGUUCUAUUGAAAUUGUGAAGAGAAGAUAUAUUCAGACAUUACUGUUUUAUUCAGCUAUUGUUGUUUUGUUGUUGCUUUUAAUGUUUAAGUCUCUCCUUGAAGGAAUGACAAAAAGCUUAAAAACACAACGCUAACUUAAAAACACAACGCUGACAUUGCUUUAGAGCAUUGGCUUUUAAAUUUAGUCAUUGUUUUAACAAUGUGUAAAGCAAUGUAAUGUGUCGCUAGGGUAUGCUCAAAGCCUUAGCUUUAUGAUUGGA
rnacentral:tRNA from 1 species